UACGGAGGAUCCGAGCGUUAUCCGGAUUUAUUGGGUUUAAAGGGUGCGCAGGCGGGAGAUUAAGUCGGCGGUGAAAUUUUGCAGCUCAACUGUAAAAGUGCCUUCGAAACUGGUUUCCUCGAGUGUAGAUGAAGUAGGCGGAAUUUGUGGUGUAGCGGUGAAAUGCAUAGAUAUCACGAGGAACUCCGAUUGCGCAGGCAGCUUACUAAGCUACUACUGACGCUCAGGCACGAAGGCGUUGGGAUCAAACAGGAUUAGAUACCCG
rnacentral:rRNA from 1 species